UACGUAGGGUGCAAGCGUUAAUCGGAAUUACUGGGCGUAAAGCGUGCGCAGGCGGUCAUGCAAGUCAGAUGUGAAAUCCCCGGGCUCAACCUGGGAACUGCAUUUGUGACUGCAUGGCUGGAGUGCGGCAGAGGGGGAUGGAAUUCCGCGUGUAGCAGUGAAAUGCGUAGAUAUGCGGAGGAACACCGAUGGCGAAGGCAAUCCCCUGGGCCUGCACUGACGCUCAUGCCCGAAAGCGUGGGGAGCAAACAGG
rnacentral:rRNA from 1 species